GGGCAGACACACUGAAGUCGCUAGACAUUUGAGGAACACAUCCGGGGAAGAAGACACAGGUGGCUGGUCAUGGAGAGCCCGCUGGGGGAAGAGCACACAGACAGGCACCGGCAGGCCAUUGACCAGCGGGACAAGGUGGGCUCAAUGUCAUCACAAGGGUGCUUAAGAGGGAAAGAGGAAGCCAUGAGGGUCAGAGUCAAAGGAAGACUUGAAGAUACUACACUGCGGACUUUAAAGAUGAAGGAAGGGGCGAAAACCAAGAAUGUGGGAAGCCUCUAGAAGCUAGAGAAGGCAAGGAAACAAAUUUUCCACUAGAGCCUCCAGAAGGAACACAGCCCUGCUGACCCACUGUAAUGUCUGACCUCUAGAUGUGUAAGGGUAGUAAGACUGAAAGUCUCAGAAAGGCACUGUUAAAUUCUUAUUCCUCAACUAUGCAACUCAAAACUGGGGUCCUCAGCAGUGAGCGAGGGGUGAGAGAAGACACUGUAUAAACAUGGCACAUCCUCCUGGAAAGUCAACUUUACUCAAAGAUCUUGGAUCUUAACAUUGAUAGCAAAACAAAAGAUGCAGAGGAAAAGGAGUGAGAGAGGCAGAAAACUCAAGAAUGUUUAAUUCCUUGGGGCUGUUUAGUCAAUUGUGAGAAGAGGUGGAAGAUGACCUAAGACUGUUGAGGUCAUGAGCUUGCCCCAUUCUUGGUGAAAGGGGAGAAGAUGGGGCUGGAAGAGGCCUUGAGCUUCCUGUAGAUAACACCAUGGGCUAAGAUCUACAUAGUUACAAAGGGCAUGUUAUUUUAUGAUAAAAUCUGUGAACUCCAGAAUGUUUGCCAGUUGGCUGAUGUGGUAAAGUCCGAGGCAUAUUGUCACUUAAAAGAAUUUAGAGAAAAAGAUAUUUUGGAAUAAAUACCAUAGUUUUAUGUUAA
rnacentral:lncRNA from 1 species